rnacentral:lncRNA from 1 species
AAACUCAAGAAUUAAUUAUUUGAGAAUAUGGCCUUCAACAGACAGGUGCAAAAAAAAAAAAGGACAGACCUCUGGGAGGUCCUAGGUCAAGCUUGAGCCACCAUUGGCACAUGUAAGAUGCAGGAAGUGAGGUAGAGAACAGCCUCUGGAGUUCUCAGGACUUCCUGGGAGGAGGGCUAAAGUUCAGUUGGUGCUUGAGUUUGGAGGAGCCCCACCGACUGCUUUCCUUCAGAUUGGUCAUCUUGAAGCUAAGAAAGUUAUUUGGCUGAACACUGUAAGGUAAUGUAAGGUCCUUAUUCCUUAACUCUUGCUGAUGCCAGCAUUGUAUGUUCUCAGAAAAAUUGGCAAGGUAGGCAUUUCUCCUUUAUUACAUAAAGGAAAUAAGUGAAUCAGAAUUCACCACUCAUCUCUCAAACUUGAUAUAAACUGUGAAAGGUAAAACCUACAGAGUGUAC